CUACUAGUUAAUCCUUAUGGUUCGGUUUAUAACACUCUCAAAGAGAAUUCCAUUGAGAAACAGAUGCCAGUUAGGGCAGUUGAUGGAUUCUUGCUUCCAGAAGAGAAAUUGCGAGGUGUUUUCCUUCAAAAACUGAAUGGUAAAACCGCAAUUGAGCAUGCAUUAGCUAAUACUGAUGUGAUUUUGAGUCAAGAUGUUGUCAGCAAAGUAUUAAACACUGGGAGUUUAGGUAGCGAAGCAAUGGUUACCUUCUUUUAUUGGGCUAUUAAACAGCCGUCGAUACCUAAAGAUGCUUCUAGUUACAACAUAAUUCUUAAAGCUUUAGGUAGAAGGGGUUUUUUUGACUCCAUGAUGGAUGUUUUGUACAACAUGACACGGGAGGGAGUGGAGGCUACAUUGGAAAUGGUCUCCAUUGUAGUAGACAGUCUGGUCAAGGGUCACCAAGUUUCUAAGGCACUUCAAUUUUUCAGAAACUUGAAAGAAAUUGGGUUGAAAUGUGAUACUGAAACCUUGAACAUUCUUCUACAAUGCAUGUGUCGACGAUCCCACGUUGGUGCUGCAAACUCCUUCUUUAAUUUAACCAAGGGGAAUAUCCCUUUCAAUGUCAUGACAUAUAACAUUGUAAUUGGUGGAUGGUCAAGAUACG
rnacentral:lncRNA from 1 species